GGCUCAAUGUUUGCUAAUUCAGUGUCCACGCAGACUUUCUAGAAGCCAGCUACUGCAGAUAAUGAGAAUUGACUAUGUUCUUCCAGGUUUGCGGUUUCUUUGGGGGCGCCUUCCUCUUAAUAAUGCAGUGGCUCCUCACUGCGACUAUGGACAGAGAUCCCUGCCCGUCUCUGGAGACUAAAAAGCUUGGGGGGGAGAGCCACAGCGUCGCUCUCUGUCCCUGGGUCCUCCUGCAAUGGUGCCUGCGGUCCGGGCGGGGGUGGGGGGCUGGGCGUCACUCUCAGAGCCGCUGACCCGGGCUGGCAGCUGUCCCUGGUGCUUCUCAAUGUUUUCUUGCUGUCGGUGCGUGGGGAAAAAGCUUCCUUCUCAUCCUGCUUGUUUCUGGAUUUGUUAAUUCCCACUCCCUUUCGUCCCCGCUCACAAACCAGAUCGUGUUCUGAGCCCCUCUUCUCCUUACGGUGUCUUUCCAACGGAAUCCAACAGCAAGCAGCACAAAGUGCUAAAAUCCGGUUUCCGGCACCUCCCUGGAGCGGCCCCCGCAGCGCCGCGUCCUGAGGCGCAAGACCCGCCCCCCUGGGACUCCCGGGCGCCGGCGGUUACCCAAAGAGCCACCGCUGCCCACCGAGGGGGACCGUCUUCCCGCCUCUGGUCGCAGUCUCCCCGCGGCCCUCCCGUGAUGCAGGUUACACGCCACCGGGACCGUCGGGCUCUGCGUCACGUCCGGGCCGGACUCACGGAGCAGCCAGCCCCUCGGACGCCGCCAGCCGCCACGGCAGAAGGGAAAGAGCUGUGGAGGGCCGCCCUUGGGCGGUGAGAUGCCCCAGCCCCAGAGGGACGCGUGUCCCCUCCGCCCACGGAGCGCUGUCGGAACAAGGGGGGGGCCGGCGACGCAGGGGGCACGGGUUGGAAACACUUGGCGGAAAGCACCGAUGGCGGCUGUCGAGGACCAAAGAGACGAAGGGCUGUCCGGGAACCCAAGGAGCAGCUCUCCAGGCCUGCUUCACCCUGGGUCACCCUGGUCAUGGCCUGAACGCCCCGAGGGGUCCCUCUGCCGCCUGUCCUCAUUCCGGGAACAGGUCCUGGGCUUUUGUCCCAGCUGGAUCUGGGAGCCCUAGAAGUGCCACAUCUUCCCCGCGGCGGCAUUUGCGAGUGACCUGUGGAGGAGACUGGGAUCUGUCCUGGAGGGCGUCAUUAACACCGUGGAUUUGUCACCGAAUUGAAAGCCCCUCCCGAAGUUCCUGGACCUGAUCAAAGCGCACCCCCCGGGCUUCUCUGAGUCAUUGGCGCUUGGAUGCUUUUCUUGCAUUUCAUACAAUUUGGAGGCAUUGAUUUAUCAUUUCCCCCUACUUGGUAUUCCAGAGACUUUGUUUUUCAUUUCAUGCUGCCACUUCUAAAAAUAAAGUUAGUGGUAAUUUGA